UUUGCAUGAAGCUACAUUCGCUCAUAGUGUUCACCGCUUUCAAUUAUACCGAAUAGUGUGCAAAAUGACAAUAGUUUGGUAUAUCGGAAUAGUUUGCGCUGCUCCAUUGGUUGUCGCCAAAGUUUCCUCAACAAAUAUACCGUGGUAUCAGGUAGGAAAUUCUGUAAUACUUAUUUGUUCGCGACCUGCAGACACAGGAAUUGUAAACGUGGUGUUGAAUAACAAGACCAUCGGUGUAAUUACAUAUAGUGAUGAGAAUCAUUGUGAAGUAAAUGGUUCCUUACGAAAUGCCAGGCUUUACAACACGACUUGUGUGGGUAAAAGGGACAUACAAGUUACUAUUUUUCACGUAUACAGAGAUUUGCAUAAUACAACCUUUCACUUCCGAUGGCAAAAUGGAACAACCUACGUUGAUAUGUGUAAAACAUUAAUCUAUGUUUACGAACCCCCGCGUAUGCCACGGAUCAACAACAAGAUCCACGGGGAUCAUUGGGUAUCUGUGCCAAACGUCGUUACCGGAUUUGAGGGACAACGUCUGUAUUUGGAUUGCUCGUGUUAUGGGGGAUUCCCAAUUGUAAGCGCUGCUUGGUACUUAAACCAGCAACAAAUAGCAUCGACAUUGCAGACAUGUGACAUGACACAAAAGACAGGGUGUUAUUUAAAAACAGAAUACACAUUUAACGCUACGCUUGAGGAUGACAACGUAGCAUAUUUAUGUCAUUGCUGGCUAAGUGUUGGUCCUGAAGAAAGACAAGUAACAGACAUCGAAAUAUACCUUUACACGAAGCCUUCCAAGCCAGUUCUUAAACCGGUUAACUAUAUCAUAGAAGGCGUUCCAAUUGUUAUCGGACACUGUGAAACGUCCGGAUUCAAACCAUUCCAUUCGUUCUCACUGGUUAUGCAAUUCGGAAACAUUACGCAUAGUUACACUGGACCUGCGAAUGAUUCACCGACAUUUUCUACUUUUUCAGCCAGUGAGAGCUUCCCCGAGAUCACUCCAAUGCGAGCGGAUAAUGGAAAAAAUCUAUCAUGUACUGUUGGCCACAACGCCCUAGAUGGAUAUCUCACUUCGGCCUUUAUCAUAAAUGUUCUGUUUAAACCCCUUAGUGUAACAAUAACGGGCAAGAAUGUCAUCAUCGCCAACGGAAAAAAUACCGUAACAUUGACCUGCACUUCAGGUACAGCAAACCCUGUAUCUGACAUUCAAUGGAGUUUUGAUUCAAUUCAUUCCACUCCUCCCGAGGUUAAACAUGAACUAUCUGAAUACGGUGGUAAAGCGACACGGAGCACAAUUACUCUCACGCCCACGAGGAAUGACGUCGGAAAAAAUGUAACAUGUACAGCGGUGAAUGAAGUAAACCUAGUCAAUCCAGCAAUCUCUGUAGUCACAUUAGAUUUGCAAUUUUACCCUGAUGUAAAGGUUAUAUCUCAAAAUACAUCGAGUGUGGCUGGGGAAACAACGUUAAUUUGCAAUGCCUCUGGUCUACCAUCAACAUACAUAUUUAGUCAAGUAUGGACUCAGGAAUGGCCCGGAUAUGGUCGACUCCGAGAAUUGACCGGCACCUCUAGCACAUUGACUCUAAAUCAACUUACAUACGAAUAUUCCGGAGUGUACAGUUGUACUGCUAGUAAUGGAAUUUUGAUCAACGAUGCAGGCGAAUACUUUUCGCUAGGCUCUGGGUACCUAUAAGUUGAAGACGCACCAGUCCUGACAUCUCCGAGUGUGAUUACUGGACAACCUUUUAGAAUUGCAGGAGAGGUUGGAGAAAACAUAUCAUUUGCUGUCGAUGUAUAUUCCAAUGACGGCAGUGUUAUUACGUCAGUAUUUAGUUGCAUAAAUAGAACAUGGGGACAUUCUACACCGGCUAUAUUUAUAACGAGACCAGCAGGCGUCAUAUUGCCAGUAUUCAACCAUUUAAUUACAAUUGUCGGUAUGCGUGUUAAUAUCACAGUGCCUAUAGACAAUACUAGCGACUUCGGGGAUAAAGAGGUAGAGAUUCGGAAUAAGUUUGGACAUAAAAGCUUUCGGAUUCACAUUGAAGCGCAAGAUGAUGAUGCGUGUUCCAAUUCCCUCAGGACCACCUGAACCACCGUACAAUAUAGCGAUACAAAACGACACCGGAUAUGCAGCGCAUAUAAAAUGGCAAUACGGAUUCCAUGGUGGGUGUCCACAGACAUUUGUAGUGCAGGCAAGCAUAGAUGGAAAUAUUUGGACAAAUUUAUCAAAUGCAAUCGAUGGAAUGGAAUAUAUCGGGACUAGUGGCAAUACCACUAUCCGGGGACUUCUGGCAGGACAUUUAUACAUGUUUCGAAUAUUUUCGUAUUCCAUAUUAGGACAGAGUGAAUAUUCCGCAGUCAAAUAUAUGACGACCUCGAUUCUACAAGACAGCAACUACAGUUCAAUUUCUGGGACCAUUUUCAAAGUGGUUGGUCCGCUAGUAGCUGUUGUAGUUAUAGUGACCGUUGCAGUCUCAAUAGGUCUUCAUAUUAAGCGCACACGGAAAGGAUCAGGAACGGUCAAAGAAGGAAAUGAUGAACGUAGCUCUGAAGAGCAAGGGGUUCAGAUGACUGAGGAUACGUAUGAAACACUCAGUAAGUUAUAACAUUUUUCGCUUGAAAAAGUUUAAUUUAGCCUGAUUAAAUACAUUCUUUAACAGCCGUUUUUGUAUUUCUAGUUUCUAAUAUUGAAAAUAUACUUUUCUUAUUUAUCUAUAGUGUAACUUUGACUACAUCUUAAGAUAAUUACAUUAAGUUUAUAGUUUCUACGUAACACAAAUUAAAAAAAAUCUUCAAAUAUAUAAAGAAUGCUUGUAAUUAAAUGCAACUGCCCGAAGUAAAAUUGUUGACUUUAUCGAAGGUCGUAAUUCGUUUGUUUCAGCACCGUACGCAUUUUGUUCAGUCAAUGUCGAAAGCGUCAUUAUGCGCUGUUGCUUAUUAUAACUCCACAGUUUUUUUUUGUAAUAGUAUGAUGUGUGAAAACAAAUCAAGACAUUUCAGCUCUGAAGAACGAAAUUUUAGAAAGAUGAUCCGGGUUGAGUUCUUUCUCCACACACUGUCAUAUUUAUUCACUGAUAUUCAAAUUCAAUUAACGUGCAAAUCUAGUUGCAUUAGCAAUCUAUCAAACAGUUUUUUCCGUAUACAACAGUAUAUAUGUACAGUCAUAUAGAUACGACCAAUCAAACAUUCAUUGACAUAUUUCGUAAAACAAAUCAAGAGUUAUUAUUAUCACGGUUUUACAAUUAUGUUAACUUGUUAUAUUGUCUUAUUAGCUUAACAUGUUAAUUAAAUGCUAUGACAUUGCACAUACACAUUGGACAUUUAACACACAAACAACUAUGAUGUACACUGAAUUGCGUUGGAUGUAACCUUUUGUAUGGUUUUGAAUAAAACUAUGAAUAGGACAACUAUGAAAAUAGCAUAAUUCUUAUCAUACAAGAUCCUUGACUAUAGGCAAGCAAUACUUACACAAUGAUUUUCAAGUUAUAGAGAAUAUUAUUUAAAACGUGAUACAAAUAAAUCGUUAACAUACCUAAACUCGUACGUUUUCAAAGCUAUAUAAAUAAAAUUCAGCAUUACCGGCCAUAAAUAACUGUUAAUAUUAUUACUAUUACUAUUACUACAAAUAACUGUUAAUUUAAUUAUUACUAUUAAUAUUACUAUAAACUCUAAUGUUGUAUUAGGCUUUAUGAAUCGAAUAUUACAUUAAAGGCCUUUUAUUGAUAAGUGUACUAUAAAGAUACGGUUAACUGCGUACAUUUGGUGAUAAUACCAAUUUCAGUUGAUGUCGUUAUUUUUGUUUUGUUCAGAUAAAAAUAAUAAGUUUUUACUUUCGUUUUACAGGAGGAACCAAUCUGUAUGUAUGUUCAUGUUUUUAAAACCUUUAUUGUACGGAAUACAUUGUUGUAUUUUUAAGAAGUACACGUUACAAUAACGACGCAUGUGUACAUAGCUUGCGCAAUUUUAAGUUUCUUUAUCUUAAGGGAAUCCUCCGGCUACGACACUUUAGAAAAUGAGGAAGUCCAAGAUAUAUCUACUAUAGACGAUAGAGCAGUGACAGAUGGCAAUCGAGGAUGUGAGGUGGUUACCACUUCAUUAAGAGUCUGAAUCGCCAACGAUGUCCCCUUAAAAUCACGUUGAAGUCGAGUCUUCAGAACCAUUUACAAUUGAAAUGUCUAAGGGAAUCUGUAAUAAAGCACGUGUACGCGACCUUUUUAAAUAUUUCGUUCACAAUGAAGACUCGUAAAUCAAGAACAAUCUUAUGAAUUCCAAUAAAACAUGCGUUAACCA